AUCUUUUGCAAAUGGUCAUGCAGGUAUUUCUCUUUGUAUUUCAUGUUUAUAACUAAGAAUGGAGGGAAUCCACCCUUGUUAUUGUACAUGUUUGCAAGUUCCAUGAUAUUUACACAGCCUAAAACCUUUUGCUUGAUUCAGUUUAUACUAAAUCAACCAUUGAAUUUCAUGCUGUAUUCAUGUUGAUCAUGUACUUACAUGUUGAAAAGAGAAAUAUGCUUUGUUCUGAUUUAGCAUGCUGCAAAUGGAGUCAUAGGUAGCUUAUUAUUGUAGGGUCAGUAAUAAAGAAGAAAAAAAACAAAUGAUGCUUUUUACUAUUAUAAAAAAAAGUUUUAUUUUAUCAAUUUGGGUCAUAAACUUUAAUUAGUGUUUCUACUGUAUCUUGUAUUUGUAUUCUCUUCAAUUGGGCAAGGUCUCAAGUUUGAGUCCCUUCUCCUCCACUUUGUAAACCAAAAAAAAAUUAUUCUGUUCAAAAUUCCCAGUAAUUUGUUGAUGUGGUUAAUGGGCAAUGGCUAUUUUGCCUACUUAUUUUCUCCAAAAGGCUCAUACCAUAUCAACUUCUUAAUGUCGGUCCUAAUAAUAAAUUGAUGGCAAUUAUGAGCAGAAGACUUGCAACGGACACAAUUGUGUCACUUGUUAAAGUUUAUGACCUCUUGAUAAAAUUAAAAGCACUGGAUAUAAUUGUAGAACUAUAGAAGUGCCAAAGUUCAUGACUUUUUUGUUCUUUUUGUCAUUAGGCCAUUAUUAAAUGUUAUUGGCCAAAAAAUAAAAAAGGAGUGCUGGCACUUGUGCUUUGUGAAAAUGCAUCUGUUUCUUAAGAGGAUGAAAGGGGUGCUAACCUAGACUCAACUAAAUGCACUUUGCUUUUAAGUGUGAAAAGAUAAUCAUCCCUAGAGCGUUUAGUCACAUUGUAAUUAAUAUUCUUUAUAGUGAACUUAUAGUCAGAGUCUGGCGGAUAUGAGUGAUUAAAAAUUAAGUGUUCAGUUUAAGCAGCCAGCUUAUGUGGAUAACAAUGUAAAUGGGAAUGUGCUGGAUAGAAGUUCUGGAAUGGGUUUAGCCAAGUGAUAUGUGGUGACUGGUGAGUUUAUAGCCUAGAUUCUGAAGGCUGGAUCCAGAUGUAUAUUUGUGUAGCCAUUAAGCCUUCUGAGUUCUGAGCUCUGUAUUUUAGUGCAUCUUUUACACUUUCAUUCUUUCCUUGUCACCUUUGUCUAUUUCUUCUGUUGUUCUCUUAUUUUUGCUUGCUUGUUAAGCUGAUAUACUGACUUUUCCUUCUCUAGUGAGAAAUCAUGGUAAGUAGGCUUAGGAGCUGGCUGGCUGACCACUAGCCCUGUGAUAUUAUUUUCCAUGUUAUCCCACUCGAAAAAUAAAUACUUUGACAUUAAGAUGAGAGAAUUCCAAAAACAAACUCAACAAUGUUGUGCCAAAAUUCUUGUGGAAUGUGAUAUUGGAAAGUAAUUCCCUUGCUAUGCUGGGCUUAAAUUUAAUUCAUAAUGUAGAAUAUCAUGAGGUGUGACGAAAUUU
rnacentral:misc_RNA from 1 species